GACGAACGCUGGCGGCGUGCUUAACACAUGCAAGUAGAACGGAAAGGCCCUGCUUUUGUGGGGUGCUCGAGUGGCGAACGGGUGAGUAACACGUGAGUAACCUGCCCUUGACUUUGGGAUAACUUCAGGAAACUGGGGCUAAUACCGGAUAGGAGCUCCUGCUGCAUGGUGGGGGUUGGAAAGUUUCGGCGGUUGGGGAUGGACUCGCGGCUUAUCAGCUUGUUGGUGGGGUAGUGGCUUACCAAGGCUUUGACGGGUAGCCGGCCUGAGAGGGUGACCGGGCACAUUGGGACUGAGAUACGGCCCAGACUCCUACGGGAGGCAGCAGUGGGGAAUAUUGCACAAUGGGCGGAAGCCUGAUGCAGCAACGCCGCGUGCGGGAUGACGGCCUUCGGGUUGUAAACCGCUUUCGCCUGUGACGAAGCGUGAGUGACGGUAAUGGGUAAAGAAGCACCGGCUAACUACGUG
rnacentral:rRNA from 1 species